GAAAAAACCAGCACACCUCCGUGAGGUUAAACGGCCUGAGUGGGGGCAUUUCUGGUGCCAUCGUGUUAUAACCAGCAGGGGGACGCCCCACACCAAACCGAGCGCUUCUCUCUUCACCAAAUGACUGGACUGAAUCGGAUCAUGUGACCGCCUGACCACAGGAAGAUCAGCUGGACUGUGACAGUGGGGACGGUUCUGGACCCUAAACAUUGGCUCCAUGUUUGACACGAAGAUGAUUCUGGGCCGAGAAGAACCGACAUUCGGACUCGACAGAACCACAGACACAUAGUUACCGGUGUGUCUGAAACAGAACCUGAACUACUUGAUGAAGGAGAAUAGUGCGUAUACAGUACAUUUCUGCGGAACCAACUGAGACGGUUUCCCAUGAACAGAGCCCCCUCCCUGACUUUCCGGUAGCUCGCCGUUAACUUCCCCACGGUUCCGCUCGCCUCCUGAGGCGGCCCGUCCCGUCAAGUACUGACCGAUGGUGGAGAUGAAGGUGGUGUUGAAGGCGUCCUCGCUGAACCGGAACAGGAGGCAGGUUUUCCCGACGCCGCUGUCGCCGAUCAGCAGCAGCUUGAACAGGUAGUCGUACGUCUUGGCCAUGUUCCGCCGCGUCCGGUGAAGUAAUGGAACCACCGGCCUGCUCGUCGCGCUCACCGGGAGUCCCGGUUCUGUACUGGUUUCUCUUAAACCGGACCGUUAGGGAGCAGGAAACAGCCCCGCUUCAAGAAAUGCGCAAAAUACCGCGACAUUCAUCCGGAACGGAUUUUUCAUAAUAAAAUCUGAAAAAAAAAUUAACCGAUCAAAGUGGACUCGUUUUUGUUUUGGCCUUUUUCAGACAUUUUACUUCCGGUCCUCGGAGGAGAAUGAUGGGACGUUCACGAGUCUCUGGACGUGUAUGCGUAUGCUGUGAUAUAGUUUAAAUUUCAUUUUUGUAACUGAAUGCGCUCUUUGUGAUAUAGUCAAGGACUGGGUAGUCAUAGCUAUUACUGCAUAUGUACAUAAAGUAUCUGCUUGUAGGUUAUUUUAACAUCUUUACUUUAUACACACGUGUUUCUCACUGAUCACGCAUCAAUGCAGUUUCAAACGACGACAAUGACAAAUACAACUCUUUAGUUUGGAGGCAAUAUUGUGGCGUUUCCGGCCUAUCUUUCACAACUUGACGCAGUACCGACGUAUGUGACGUCAUCGUCAAAGGGAUGGGGCGUGUCCACAGCUAUGGGUUGCCAGUUUGGCAUAAACAGUUGCAAACUCUAAAAAGUGCCAAAGAAGAUUCGUUUCAGCCAGAAUUCCUAACAACAUAAUAUUGAUGGACUAAAGGAAUGGAUGAACUAUGUUCACAUGACAAUGUUACUAAGAUAUAGCUUUUAUUAUAGGACAACUAUUUUUUACUCUCAGCCUUUUACUUGCAACAGAUUAAGAUUUUCUUUCUUAGCUGCUAGUUGCAAAAUGUCAACAGUUUGGUUAUACGGGCAUCACAAAAGAAACCCCCCCAAAAAAACAGACAAAAAACAAAAUGUAAUAAACUGAACUCAAAGUCUUUUAAAACACAGGCACUGCAAUUUAUUUAAUCGUUAGAUAAAAAAAAAACCCUAGAGGUUGAAUCUUUUUAAUAAAACAAUUUAUUCAAGGACUUGACAAUAAGGCAGACAUUGCAGGUUUGUGGGGACAAACUGCAUGUAAAGUUAGAUAUAAAUGUAUAAAUUCUAGCGUCACUGAUAAGUUUGUGUAUAGUUAUUCAAGACAGAAGCAUGAGACAGGAAAGUAGAAACAAUAAAUAAGGCCAUUUAACCAAGUCACCUUCAAAAAAACAGAAAACAAUGAAAUCCAAUUAUUAAGACCAAUAUAAUGAUAUUUCAAAGACAGUGGAAAGGUGUCAUCCCAACAUUGUGCGUGUUUGCGAUGAAUGUUUGACCAAAUUCGGCUACAGAACCCACCCCUUAUUACAGCACUAACACAGGUGAAACAGACCUUGGGAGGGAGCUUGGAAGAAGGUUAGUCUAGGUCCUGGAUCCGGUGGCAGAUCUCAGCUGUAAACUCUGAGCACUUUGAGCUUCCUCCCAGGUCCUUCGUCAGCACCUAAUACACACAGGAAUCAUAAGCAUCAAACAGUUGGUCACAACAUGGUUUGGUGAGGACUCGUAUGUGUCACAGAGACAAUGUCUUCUAAUACAUUAAACUUUUCCAAGUGAGAGCAGUUUAUCAGAAUUGCUGAUAACAUGAAGCAGGUUGGGAGCUGUUGUUCACAGGGACAGUAAAACACAGACAACCACCUGAAGUUUCAGUCUCACCUUCUUGUCUCUGAUGGUGUCGAAACAGGCAGUCUGGAUCUUGGCGGCAUAGUCGUGGAGUCCCAUGUGACGCAGCAUCAUGACAGCACUGAGCAGCAAGGCAGUAGGGUUGGCCAGGUCCAUCCCGGCAAUGUCGGGGGCAGUGCCAUGAACCUACAGAGCAGAGCAAACCUCAAAAUGGACGAUUCCAUGCUGGUCCAAUGAGGAAAUGUCAACUACUGUAUUGGUUAAGUUGACUAGUGGAGCUUUUUAACAUAACUGUCACUGUGAUGCAUCAUAUAGUGAUGACUAGAAACACAAACUGAUUCUUUGAAUAGUGGGUUUGUUCAUUUAAAUUUCAAACACUUGUUUCAAAACCUUUUUUUUAAACACAAGAUGAAGCCCAGUCAAUUAUGCAGGCGACAAAUAUGACAAUGAGUCUAUAAUGAUGUACAUUAGGUAGUUUUAAGCCUUGAAGGCAUAAGAUGAACUGUAGAGGUAUAAAUGUUGGAAGAAACAAACCGAUUCAAAUAUGGCCACUCCGUUCGCUCCGAUGUUCCCACUGGGUGUGACUCCGAGACCUCCGAUCAGACCAGCACAUAGAUCACUGCAAUACACCAUGUCCAACCGUUAGCACCAUGUAGGAGACCACACAGCUUGUUUCACACAAAUACGACCAACCUCAGGAUGUCUCCAUACAAGUUGGGCAUGACUAGAACAUCAAACUUGGUCGGAUCCUGGACCAUCUACAAUACCAGAAAAUCCCAAGGUUAGAAAUUAUUUAAUGGCAUUAAGGAAACAAUGCAAAGGUCAAAUGUCUGCACAGGGAAACAGGAAGUACUGUAAUAUUCAAGAUAAACGUAUUCUUCCCACAGUGGGGAAAUUCAAUUGCCAGCGCAGCCACAAAGUAAUAGCAAGAUACAAACACAGUGGGUCAUAGAACAUGAGCAGAGUUGUGUUCUGCUCAAUUUGAUUUUACCAAAUACAAAAUACAGAUCCUCAGUUUAGGUCUGCCAAUUGUGCAGAAAAACCUCAGUUUAGUGAACUCACAUUAAGGCACACAGUGUCAAGGUACAUCUCCGUAAACUUGAUGUCUUUGUAGUUUUCAGCCACUUCACGACAUUUUCUGAGAAACAGACCAUCAGACAUCCGCCUGCACACACAAACACCCAUUGCUGAUGAAGAAACGUCUGACAUCACAAACCAUCAUGCAUGUCUGCACAACACUUUUCAUGUAUACAAAAAAAAUAGGCAAAGAUGAACAGAAAAUCUAAAAUACGCAGCAAAAAAAAACAAAAAAAAAAAACACAGGAAGCAUCAGCCAACAGCUGGAGGGCACAAACACUGACGUUUGUAGCAGGAAACAAACUGGACCAGCACCACAGUCCUCACCAGGGGAAGCAGGUAGGACAACGGAUACAUUGUUACUGUUUGUGAAUAUAUUCACAUGCUUCUAACUGAGGUGUCUGCACAUAUUUCAGAAGUCUAAAGCUGGAAUUGUACUGUGGCUUACGGAGAUCAACUCACAUGAUGUUGGCUUUGUGGACAGCAGUGACACUGGUUCUUUGGUUGUUUCUGGCGUAUUCAAAUGCGUACUCUGCGAUACGUCUGCUGGCGUUCUCUGUGAUCAGUUUGAUGCUCUGAACAACU